CAAGAACCCUUCUUGAUAAGC
rnacentral:miRNA from 1 species